CUAAAUACCCAAUCCAAAAUUAAAAACAGAUCUUCUAGUCUAAACAAAAACAACCUAAAACUAUUUCUAAAAAAUAAAAUGAAACAAAAAACAGCAAAAGGAAAAGGAAAGUGAACAGUUUGGAAAAAAUCAGAUGAACCCUAGAAAAAAUAAUCCACCUGAGCUGACGCUGGUAUGUCGGACUUGAGCUGAGCCACCAUUGUAGUCUUCACAUUCAGCAGAAUUCACUCAGGCAACCUCUCAAUUUCUCAUCGGUGCCGUGAAAUCAAUCCCAAAAUUGAAGACUUCUUCAAGAUAGAUAACUUCAAAAUUAGAUCUGCAGCUUCUUGAAGGUUUUGCAUCUGAUUUAGCUGAUGGCUUUUUGGUGAUGCAGGAUCUUCACUCACUAUUCCACCAUGCUCCAUUGUUAAAGGUCUUAGUUCAGGAUGCAACACCCUACAAUUUUCCAUACUAUGACCCUGAAGCUUACACUCAAAACAGUAUUUCGGCAAAUGAUCAUACUGUAUUUUAACUUGAAAAUUUCUGCUAACUCCUGAUACUACAUUAUAGAUUUCCAUCUUAACCCAUUUGGGAAGAUUGGCUUUGAGAUCAACCAAAACUUUAACUCUA